rnacentral:tRNA from 1 species
GGGAUACAGCUCAGUUGGCAGAGUGCUUGCCUCAUAUGCACAGGCCCUGGGUUCAAUCCCCAGCAACACA